rnacentral:lncRNA from 1 species
CAGACCACAGAGGAGCUUGGAUGGAAAACAGCUGAAUUUCAGCUCCUGCAACUAAUGACUGUCAACACUGCCUGGCUUUAUUCCACUUGGGAAUUACCAGCAGGGAAAUCUGCUGUCCAUUAAAGAGCCACUGUCAAGAUCAAGAUUCAUGGUUCCCCCCGUGGCUGCACAGGAAAACAUUGUAUUUUUCGUCACCUGAUAAAGCUCAUUAAAAUGUUGUCUACAGCACUUUUCUUAGGUUAUUUUUUCUCAGUGGCAUGUUACACCAUUUUAAAUGAUUCCCGAGGGAAAUAAGGGCCCUGUUAUUCAGCUGAUGGGAUGAGAGAGGCAAUCUCUCACAUUCCAAAUGAAGGGAGAUAUAUUAAUAAAGAAAACAAUGAAAGAGUGCUCUGAUUUUCACUGAUCUAAGGCCCCUUUCCAUUGUUCUUCUUGGGAAUAAUAUCUGAUUAAAGACUGCAAGACUUGGUACAGUGAACUAUUUAAUGAAUGCUCUCACAGAAAGUGAAAUCUACUCCAACCUGCGCUUCUGACUGUAUCAAAUCAUGGAGGUAAGCAGUUAAUGGGAGGAAUAGCCUGGCAUUACAUGGCUGCUCUGAUAGGGACCCAAACAGCCCAUGUGUGCUAGCCCCAAACAGUCAUUAAGUCAGCACGCUACAGCAGGAAAUGUUGCUGCAGCAGUCCUACAC